rnacentral:tRNA from 1 species
GCACCGUUAGCUCAGCUGGUAGAGCAAUUGACUCUUAAUCAAUGGGCCGCAGGUUCGACUCCUGCACGGUGCACCA